UAUUUUUUAAUCAAUAAACGAUAUAAUGGGCAAAAACAACCUUCUUCGUAAAUUCACACCUUUACGAUACCGAAAACGAGACUGAAAAUGUAAUACCGGAUCUGACGUCACAACCCAUCAUUGGCGGUUUCUUCACAACAAGACGAGAGUAUAAAAGAAGAAAAUAUUCGAAGAGAAAUGGCAAGUAAGAGUAAGGGACGCAUGUGUGUAGUUGUAGGAAGCAACAACAGGCCCUCGGACACCAUUUCCGUCCAUGUUUUCCCGAAGGACGAGCGACAGAGAGCAGCAUAGACUCGAUUUGUGAGACUGACCCGUGCAGACUGGACAGGAUCGUCCCAGUAUACUGUUGUUUGUAGUGGACAUUUCACGGACGGAUGUUUCCAGGCUCAGUUUUCACUGAUGAGAGAAUUUGUAAUUCCUGCGAAAAAACGCCUCUGCUCUGGUGUGAUUCUAUCGAUUUAUUCUAAGAGGAAAGUGGACGACCUCAACCUUGCCCUCCUCUCUUCGCCCGAGCCUAAACCCAAGCGCCAGGCUGCCGUCAAGCUGGAGAAAAAUAGGAAUUCCUCAAGGCUGCAUGACAUAACGAAGGAGGGGGACCAACAAUUUAAAAUCAGCUUCCCGAAGUUCAAGUGUUCGUAGGAAGCCUGUUGAUCCACCAAUUACCCAUCAGUCCUGAUGAAGGAGACUUAUUUGGUUUUUCAAGGGUCAUCAGAACCAUUACCAUGCUCAUUGCCAGCUCAACCACCUCCACUGUGCAGUGAAUUUUUCCAUCCUGAUAAAGAAGACGCAGUGCUACAUUUUGCAUUGAGGACAAAACGUAAUACUAGCUAUUUGGACAUUCUAGCAAAGCAGAUAAAAAAUAUGUUGGUCAAACAGAUGUGCUCUAUUUUAAUCUUGUUUAAAAAUGUUAAAUCAUUGUGAAACACUUUUAUCUUUGCUUUUGUUUAAAUUUGAACCAAAGUCAUAUAGAGUAGUAGGUUGUGAAAACAAAUUGUGUUAUUUUUUACAAAUAAAAAAAGACUGGGAACAACCAUGAUAUAGGGUCUGACCGUUGGGUAACAAUCUGUUUGGU